rnacentral:rRNA from 1 species
UACGGGGGGAGCAAGCGUUGUUCGGAUUUACUGGGCGUAAGGGGCGCGUAGGCGGUCGUGACAAGUCACUUGUGAAAUCUCCGGGCUUAACUCGGAACGGUCAAGUGAUACUGUCGGACUAGAGUACAGAAGGGGCAACUGGAAUUCUCGGUGUAGCGGUGAAAUGCGUAGAUAUCGAGAGGAACACCUGCGGCGAAGGCGGGUUGCUGGGCUGAUACUGACGCUGAGGCGCGAAAGCCAGGGGAGCGAACGGG